UACGUAGGGGGCUAGCGUUGUCCGGAAUCAUUGGGCGUAAAGAGCUCGUAGGCGGUUCGACAAGUCGGGUGUGAAAACUCCGGGCUCAACCCGGAGACGCCACCCGAUACUGUCGUGACUGGAGUCCGGUAGGGGAGUGGGGAAUUCCUGGUGUAGCGGUGAAAUGCGCAGAUAUCAGGAGGAACACCGGUGGCGAAGGCGCCACUCUGGGCCGGUACUGACGCUGAGGAGCGAAAGCGUGGGUAGCAAACAGG
rnacentral:rRNA from 1 species